GAUGAACGCUGGCGGCGUGCCUAAUACAUGCAAGUCGAGCGAACAGACGAGGAGCUUGCUCCUCUGACGUUAGCGGCGGACGGGUGAGUAACACGUGGAUAACCUACCUAUAAGACUGGGAUAACUUCGGGAAACCGGAGCUAAUACCGGAUAAUAUAUUGAACCGCAUGGUUCAAUAGUGAAAGACGGUUUUGCUGUCACUUAUAGAUGGAUCCGCGCCGCAUUAGCUAGUUGGUAAGGUAACGGCUUACCAAGGCGACGAUGCGUAGCCGACCUGAGAGGGUGAUCGGCCACACUGGAACUGAGACACGGUCCAGACUCCUACGGGAGGCAGCAGUAGGGAAUCUUCCGCAAUGGGCGAAAGUCUGACGGUGCAACGCCGCGUGAGUGAUGAAGGUCUUCGGAUCGUAAAACUCUGUUAUUAGGGAAGAACAAAUGUGUAAGUAACUAUGCACGUCUUGACGGUACCUAAUCAGAAAGCCACGGCUAACUACGUG
rnacentral:rRNA from 1 species